rnacentral:rRNA from 1 species
GACGAACGCUGGCGGCGUGCCUAAUACAUGCAAGUCGAGCGAAGUUUUUCUGGUGCUCGCACUAGAAAAACUUAGCGGCGAACGGGUGAGUAACACGUAAAGAACCUGCCUCAUAGACUGGGACAACUAUUGGAAACGAUAGCUAAUACCGGAUAACAGUAUUUCUCGCAUGAGAGAUAUUUAAAAGUUGGUUAUGCUAACACUAUGAGAUGGCUUUGCGGUGCAUUAGCUAGUUGGUGGGGUAAAGGCCCACCAAGGCGACGAUGCAUAGCCGACCUGAGAGGGUGAUCGGCCACACUGGGACUGAGACACGGCCCAGACUCCUACGGGAGGCAGCAGUAGGGAAUCUUCCGCAAUGGGCGAAAGCCUGACGGAGCAACGCCGCGUGAGUGAAGAAGGAUUUCGGUUCGUAAAGCUCUGUUGUUAGGGAAGAAUGGAUAUGUAGUAACUAUACAUGUAAGAGACGGUACCUAACCAGAAAGCCACGGCUAACUACGUG